rnacentral:lncRNA from 1 species
ACCAAAAUCUCACAUUCCAAAUAGCUUUUCCAGUUCUUCAUUGCUGUUUCUAAGGAGCACACAGAUUUGUUCCACUAUGAAAGGAAAAGGGGCCCCAGGGUCCUCUUAUCAGAGGGAGGCUCAGCUUAUGGACCCCAGCACGUGACCUCACUUCCUUGGCGACAGGUCCAAACAGAACUCGGAACCCUGGAGUCAGUGGGCACCACAGUCUCACCGUGGCUGCCUAGCAGUCACUUGGCUGGAGACAGUCAGCAGCGAACGUGCUGUGCUGCUUUUCCAGGCCUCGAGGCCACAGCCUCAGGAGCCCAAGCAGCUGCUGGACCGGCUCCAGCCCAAGCUGAAGUAUCAGCUGCAGAGCCCAUGCCAGCUCCACCUGAAGCUCCCUGCCCAACUCUGCCACCACAGCCAGAGCCAGCACCAGGAACCCCUUCUCCACCAGCUGCACAGCUGGGGCUCCCGGUGCCUCCUCAGCGGGUGUCAGCUCCUGAGCUCCCCCUGGGGCCAGCUUCUGCCCCAGGCCUGCCGUUCCCCUCCAUUACUGUUGGUCACGUUAAGCCAGGUGCUGUUACGCUUUUGCACUGAGCCCCGCUACUCACUGCCUUGCCGUGAAGAAAGGGUCAUCCAGACAGAGUCGGGCCUCGAGGGGGCAGUUCUGGGUAGAAGCAACUGUGAGAACCAUCUGUGCUUUAUAGAUCCCACGAUAAUGCACCCAGAGGCCGCAGCAACUUCUGCCCAUGAUCAUGGAAUCUGUGGAACGGACCUGUGA